rnacentral:tRNA from 1 species
UGCUUCAUCGUCUAGCGGCAAGACACCCGACUGUUACUCGGGCGACCGAGGUUCGAAUCCUCGUGGAGCAG